rnacentral:rRNA from 1 species
UACGUAGGGACCGAGCGUUGUCCGGAAUCAUUGGGCGUAAAGAGCGUGUAGGCGGCUUGCUAAGUCUUGCGUGAAAUCUCGGGGCUCAACCCCGAGCGGUCGUGGGAAACUGGCAGGCUAGAGUACGAAAGAGGAUCGCGGAAUUCCCGGUGUAGAGGUGAAAUUCGUAGAUAUCGGGAGGAACACCGGUGGCGAAGGCGGCGAUCUGGGUCGAUACUGACGCUGAGGUGCGAAAGCGUGGGGAGCAAACAGG